rnacentral:rRNA from 1 species
AUUGAACGCUGGCGGCAAGCUUAACACAUGCAAGUCGAACGAGUGGCGGACGGGUGAGUAAUGUCUGGGAAACUGCCAGAUGGAGGGGGAUAAAUACUGGAAACGGUAGCUAAUACCGCAUACCAUCGGAUGUGCCCAGAUGGGAUUAGCUAGUUGGUGGGGUAAAGGCUCACCUAGGCGACGAUCCAUAGCUGGUCUGAGAGUAUGACCAGCCACACUGGAACUGAGACACGCGCCAGACCCCUCCGGGAGGCAGCAGUGGGGAAUUUUGCACAAUGGGCGCAAUCCUGCUGCAGCCAUGCCGCGUGUAUGAAGAAGGCCUUCGGUUUGUAAAGUACUUUCAGCGGGGAGGCGUUACCCGCAUAAGAAGCACCGGCUAACUCCGUGCCAGCAGCCGCGGUAAUAC